AAGUCGUAACAAGGUUUCCGUAGGUGAACCUGCGGAAGGAUCAUUAUCGAAACAAUGGGGUGGAGGUUUGUUCAUGUGACUGACCGCCGCCCCUCACCAAUCACACUCCUGUGCACACUAGGCUGGCUUGUGAACGGGGGGAAGGUUUCCCCUCGGAAUCAUGCCUUGCCGCAUCCUUACACAAACUCCAGAGUAUAACAGAAUGUGCUUGCGUUCAACGCAUCGUAUCACAACUUUCAGCAACGGAUCUCUUGGCUCUC
rnacentral:misc_RNA from 1 species